rnacentral:rRNA from 1 species
UACGUAGGGACCGAGCGUUGUCCGGAAUUAUUGGGCGUAAAGAGCUCGUAGGCGGUUUGUCGCGUCUGCUGUGAAAACCCGAGGCUCAACCUCGGGCCUGCAGUGGGUACGGGGCAGACUAGAGUGCGGUAGGGGAGAUUGGAAUUCCUGGUGUAGCGGUGGAAUGCGCAGAUAUCAGGAGGAACACCGAUGGCGAAGGCAGAUCUCUGGGCCGUAACUGACGCUGAGGAGCGAAAAGCAUGGGGAGCGAACAGG